CCCACCCGGAACUCGCGCUGGCCGGCAAGCACCGCGCGCAGCCCCGGUUCCCGCCCGUGCCUCUCCCUCCACACCACCCCGCAAGCUGAGGGAGCCGGCUCCGGCCUUGGCCAGCCCAGAAAGGGGCUCCCACAGUGCAGCGGCGGGCUGAAGGGCUCCUCAAGCGCGGCCAGAGUGGGCGCCAAGGCCGAGGAGGCGCCCAGAGCGAGCGAGGGCUGUGAGGGCUGCCAGCAUGCUGUCACCUCUCAGAAAAACGGUUAUAUACUGAAACUGUAGGAACAGCAAAGAGAUUAAAGAUCAAGUAAAGAGCAACAAAGGACAUCGUCCAUGAAGUGCUUUCACGUCAUUGAAAGAAUCUGUCAUCUAUUUCUCAUUGUUGCUGAGUACUCAUCUGUAGUGUGAAUAUUCCACAGUUUGCUCCCCUGGAUGGACACUGGGUCAUUUCCAGCUUGGGUUAAGAAUAAAGUCAGCUGGGUGCGGUGGCUCACACCUGUAAUCCCAGCACUUUGGGAGGCUGAGGCAGGCAGAUCACCCGCAGUCAGGAGUUCGAGACCAGCCUGGCCAACGCAGUGAAACCCCGUCUCUACUAAAAAUACAAAAAUUAGCCGGGCGUGGUGAUGGGCGCCUGUAGCCUCAGCUACUGGGGAGGCUGAGGCAGAAGAAUCGUUCGAACCCGGGAGGCUGAGGUUGCAGUGACCUGAGAUCAUGCCAUUGCACUCCAGCCUUGGUGACAGAGUGAGACUCCAUCUCAAAAAAAAAAAAAAAAAAAAGUCUGUAUGAACUUUUUUACAUAAGUCUAGUAUGUGUUGCUAUGGCUUGAAUUCUCCUAUAAUUCACAUGGGGAAGAACUGAUCCUCAGUAUCUCGGGAUGUGACUGUAUUUGAAGAUAAUGUCUUUAAUCAAGUAAGGUUAAAUUGUUACAGGUAGUUAGGCGUGAGCGGGCAGGAGAGGGCUCUCCCCGCCACCCACUAGAAGUCUUGAGUGAUGGUUCAGUAAUUGUUGCAUUGCCUCUCUAAAAGUGAUACAUUGGCAGCCGGUGCUAGGGAGAGGCCAUUCAGUGAUGGUCCACACCUGUUAACGUUAAAAACUGUUAAUUAGAGGCAGACCUCAUGGAGAAGAAAUUUCCUGGGCGUGCACAUUAACAGACAAAAAUAGCGGAGUGUGAUCUUCGGCGUAUCCUCUACCUGAAAAAGGAAGAAAGCCUCAGAUAAGCAUGCGUACAAUUUACUGAACACACUACAUGAGCUCACUUCCCAAGGGUAAGAAGGGCUCUGGCCGGGCGCGGUGGCUCAUGCCUGUAAUCCCAGCACUUUGUGAGGCCGAGGCGGGCGGAUCACGAGGUCAGGAGAUAGAGACCAUCCUGGUUAACACGGUGAAACCCCGUCUCUACUAAAAAAAAAACACACACAAAAAAAUUAGCCGGGUGUGUUGGCGGGCGCCUGUAGUCCCAGCUACGCCGGAGGCUGAGGCAGGAGAAUGGCGUGAGCCCGGGAGGCGGAGCUUGCAGUGAGCCCCGAGAUCACGCCACUGCAAGAAUCCAAUCAAGGGAAAGAGGCUAUAAAGGUCAUAGCAUCACGGUUAAACGGGGCUUUUUACCUUCUUUAAUCUUCAUGAGCCCUCUUGGAUCUCUUCUAAGUGAACUUUCCUUUCUUUCCUGUUCUAAGGCCUUUUAAGUAAACUUCCACUCCUGCUCUAAAAUGUGCCUAGGUCUCUUGUUCUGCUUUAUGCCCCUCAGUCUAGUUGUUUCUUCUGAGGAGGCAAGAUUUAAAGUUGCGGCCGACCUGUGCGGAUUUGCUACUGGUAACUCCUGGUAACUCCGGUCUCUUCCACCACUAACAAAAUGAGGUCCUUGAGGUGGGCUCUAAUUCAGUAUGACCGGUAUCCUUACAAAGAGGAGAUGAGGACCUAGGCACACUCAGAGGAAAGAUCGCUUGAAGACACAAGGAGAAGAUGACACUGUACAAGCUAAGGAAAGAGGCCUCAGAAGAAACCAACCCUGCUGACACCUGGGUCCUGGACUUCUAUCCCACAGAACUGUGAGUAAAUACACUUCUGUUAUUUAGACCAUGCAGUCUGUGAUACAUUGUUAUGGCAGCUUUACCAAACUAAUACAUGUGAAUAUACAUAUAUGUUUUAAUUUAUCUAUGAGGAAAUAUGUAGGAGUGGAAAUUGUUGAAUUGUAUAUUGCUGUACUUGCAAUUAUUCAAGAAAUGGCCACAAUUUUUUUCCAAAGGGUUUAAACACUUUUGAAAUUCAAGCAGCAAUAUAUGAGCCCUCCAAUUAUUCCACAUCUUCUGUAAUAUUUAAUAUUGUU
rnacentral:lncRNA from 1 species